GCGCGGAUGUGCGGAGCAUUGAGCUCGUGGCAGUGAUUGACUCAGCUACUGUAGAUGAAUAUUAAAAAACAAAAAUUGUUGUAUUGAAAAAUAACAUUUCAACUCCUGCAGGCGCGGUCUUGUUUUGUUGCAGAUCUGUGCAGACUCCGUAGGUCAGUAAUAAGAUGGCGAAUUGUCUGUUAACUCUGCAAACCGAGCUUCACUCUUUCAUGGAGGUUUUACUCAAAUCGAUCGUGUAUGAAAUUUCACAAGUUUUCCGAAACAGGAUGUCGGACUCCGAGAACGAGUUUCAGGACAAACUCCGCAGCAUCUCCCAGAUCCUGGUGAGACGGGCCGUGUUUAAAAUCACACAGUGUGUGGAGGAGAGUUUCGGGAGUGAAAUGGCGCAGCUGAAGAAGGAAAACGAGAGCCUGAAGUGGAGAUUGCAGCUGUGGGAGAAGGAGUCGGGAGCAGGGGGAGAUCAGGGACAGACAGAUCAUGUUGGACACACACUCCCCUGUGAAGUCACUGCAGAAAUAAAAGAAGAAAUGGACACGAAACCGGAGCUGUCAGGCUCAGAGGCCAGUGGUCUCCCUGACACUGGGGAAAGGGCUCCUCUUGAACAGCAGCACAGUGAGGAGGAGUGGAGCUUUAGUCUGAUGCAGGAGACAGAGCUCACUGCCGGAGAAGGGAAAGAGACACUCAGUGAGCAGCACACAGAGAGCAGACAGUAUGUCAAGGAUCUGGACUCUGUGCCCAUGAUGAAGACACAGCCCGAGAAAGAGACAAAUGGACUUUUAGUAUCUGAAGAUUUAACAGAAAAGGUCAAUAUUCUAUACAUUAAGACUAUUACAAUAAAUUUUAAUGAACAGGAAUCUGUGUCUGCACAGAGGCUCAAAGAGGAGGAGCUGAACGAAGUGGAUGAGUUUAAUCUUACAGAGCAGGACAUGGAGCCCCAGCUGAUUGACCCUGAAGAGCAGCAGACUGAUGUACCUGGUGAAGAGAACGGUACUAGGUUACUGCACACAGAGAAGAGUCAGGACAGGGAGGACUUUGAAAGGAGGAACAGCACCAAGAUCAAAGACUCAGGAAGACUCAGUCAAGACCUUGCUCAGGUAACGUGCCAGAAUUGUUAUUAAAGGAUAGACAGCAGCAUUUUUGUCAGUUAAGCACCUUAGAAAGUCAUUGCUGUAUGCAUACAGCAAAGAGAUUAUCUGAAGGCAGUGUGGUAAAAGUUUUGUUAGGUCAGGUCAUUUUAAAAAAGCAUAAGCAUGUUCACAGAGGGGAGAAACUAUUCAUCUGGGUGGAAAAUGGAGUUGUGAGUGAAGGCAGUACUGCUACAUAGGACUGGAAAAAUGAUAAUGAUGAAGCAGCACAACAGAGGUGCUCCGGCUUUGAAUUGAAACAGGGCAUAGGGAAUGAUUGGAUUCCUGAUUGAUAAUUAGAAUGGAUCACCUUCUGCUAAUCCGGUCAUAGUGAAGCUCUGGAAAACCCUGUUUCCCAGGGCAAGCAGGGACUGAGUGACCAUUUACUGUGGUAAGUUAAAUAAGAAUAUGAGUAAUAGAACACAAAUAAGAAUAUAAACUGAAGACAGGAGAAAUGGCUAAAGCCAGCACAAAGGAAGAACUCAUCAAAGCGAUUUAUAGGUUCUGGGAGGAAGUGCUGGCAAAACAAAGUUGAAACAAUUUUAAUAGGCUGUUUCAUGUUCUUCCCAAGAUUGUUGAGCACAGUGGGGGACAUUCGGGAAUUUCACAGAUGCUUUUGUUCUUUCUUGCAUUGUCAGAUUGUAAAUCAAUAAAAGCAUUUAAUUAAACAUGCGUUUGCGAUUUUAAUCCAAAAUAAAUGAAAAUAGUGUGAAAAUAUCUUAUCACCUCCUUGCCCCCUGUGGGUAAUGGGGACUCUCCAUUAUAAACAUAAAUAUAAAGCCCCAAAAUAAACACACAGUAAUAAAUAACGUGUUCUACAUUGACCUUUUUAUUAAGUGAUAGACAAAAAUCCGGGCAGUGUCUUUCUCUGCAAGCCAGUCAAAGAAGUAAGUAGGUGACUCAAAGCUCGAAGCAACAAUAUUUAAUACAGUGUGUAUUCUCCUGUCACAGUGCAAAAUAGAACAAUUUAGAGUACAUAAUGUGGUUAUGUAUCGGGAAUGUUUGCAAAUGUUGUGAUAAUUGUACAAUAUACGCUUUUGGGAACACAUUCGUUUUCGAGCAGGUAAUUGCUCACUUCUGCUGAUGUAGAGUGCUUUGUAAUCUACAUGCUCUCUCCACAUAAUUCUCCACAAUGAAAAUGUCUCAGAACUAGGCAGACUGUAUAAAUUAUAAAGCAAAGGCUAUGGAGAAAAAAAAAUCACCACUGAAAGCAACUCUUUUGACAUGUACAGUAAAUGUGACACCUGUGGCACGUCGAGUGCAUAUCCUACAGUGUGAGGGCAUUUGCAAGACUAUUAAAAAAGAUUGAUCGAGUUAACAGUCUGGGUGUGGUGAGUUUUGACUGUUUCCUGUCAGUCUUGGGCGAAAGUAACCCAUCUUUCAUUGUAAGGUUCGCCUAUUCUACUCUUACAUGAGAAUAUAUGAAUACACCAAGGGAUUCGGUUAAGUUGAGUUCCCUUUAAAAAAAAAUCUGCAAGCCUGCACUACAACAGCCAUAGUAUGGAGACAAAGACUUUUUUGUGGGAAGAGACGUGGUGCUUCAGCUGCCUUGGCUUGCAAAGUGCGAAGGCCUGUUCUACAUGAAAACCCUGCACAUGUUAAACGAUCUUCGGAGACUACCAGGACAGUAAAAAAGAAAGCGGCUGUGGGUCUCUGCUCUCAGCCGCUGGCCAGGGUGCCAGCCUGUGAAAGCAGCACCUGUGUGAAGACUGUUCAGCGGCAGCGGGAGCAGUCCGACUCAUUGCUGGGAAAGGUUGGGAGGUUGGAAACACUCCUAAAGAUGCAGAAGCAGGAGACAGUAUGUUCCGGCAGUCAAAUGCAAGGUCAGCUGCCUCUGAACAGACCUUCAUCUCCUGAUAAGUGCCCUUCCCCGCCACGCAGGUUGCUGUACCUGGCGGAAUGCAUAUCUCCACACAGCCCUCCUCCCUCAGCAGAGCACACACCACCUCAAGACACUCCAUCCAGGCCUCUCUGCUUACCUCCGCCCAGGAAUUGGCUGGUCCUGUCCCCACUGUCUCUCUCCCCUCAGGAAGUACCAUCUACACAGCCACAACAGAACUCACAGAUGCCAAUGCCACGAACAGUUCUCCCAGAUAUCCAACUUUUGCCCAUCAGUCAAGAGAAGGAGGAGAGAUUAUACAUGCAGUGCAUCGGCAUAGAUGGGAAAGCCAGAGCCGACCGUUACGCUGCUCUUUUGUUUCGUAAUUUUGUGACUUUUGAAAUUUAUUGGGGGUGGACCACAUCUGUAAAUUUCGAUGGGUCCAGAGGUAAAAGCGCCUUGCCUUGCAAUCUCCGGGAAAACAUUAUCGGCAUGGUGAAUCGGAGAUUCUCAAAACUAAGUUUGUAUGA